rnacentral:rRNA from 1 species
UACGGAGGGUGCAAGCGUUGUUCGGAUUUAUUGGGCGUAAAGAGCGUGUAGGCGGUUUUGCAAGUCAGGUGUGAAAUCCCGGGGCUUAACUCCGGAACUGCGCCUGAAACUGCAGGACUUGGGUACGGGAGAGGUAGGUGGAAUUCCUGGUGUAGAGGUGAAAUUCGUAGAUAUCAGGAGGAACACCCGUGGCGAAAGCGACCUACUGGACCGAUACUGACGCUGAGACGCGAAAGCGUGGGGAGCAAACAGG